GCCGAGUUGGUGCAGUGGCUAGCAUACGUGGCCUUCAACCACGCGAAGAGGGAUCGAAACCCUCACUCGGUA
rnacentral:tRNA from 1 species